rnacentral:rRNA from 1 species
GGAAACCGGGGCUAAUACCGAAUAGGACCACCGUCCGCAUGGUUGGUGGUGGAAAGUUUUUCGGCCUGGGAUGGGCUCGCGGCCUAUCAGCUUGUUGGUGGGGUGAUGGCCUACCAAGGCGACGACGGGUAGCCGGCCUGAGAGGGCGACCGGCCACACUGGGACUGAGACACGGCCCAGACUCCUACGGGAGGCAGCAGUGGGGAAUAUUGCACAAUGGGCGGAAGCCUGAUGCAGCGACGCCGCGUGAGGGAUGACGGCCUUCGGGUUGUAAACCUCUUUCAGCAGGGACGAAGCGUAAGUGACGGUACCUGCAGAAGAAGCGCCGGCCAACUACGUGCCAGCAGCCGCGGUAAGACGUAGGGCGCGAGCGUUGUCCGGAUUUAUUGGGCGUAAAGAGCUCGUAGGCGGCUUGUCGCGUCGACUGUGAAAACCCGCAGCUCAACUGCGGGCCUGCAGUCGAUACGGGCAGGCUAGAGUUCGGUAGGGGAGACUGGAAUUCCUGGUGUAGCGGUGAAAUGCGCAGAUAUCAGGAGGAACACCGGUGGCGAAGGCGGGUCUCUGGGCCGAUACUGACGCUGAGGAGCGAAAGCGUGGGGAGCGAACAGGAUUAGAUACCCUGGUAGUCCACGCUGUAAACGUUGGGCGCUAGGUGUGGGGGGCCUCUCCGGUUCCCUGUGCCGCAGCUAACGCAUUAAGCGCCCCGCCUGGGGAGUACGGCCGCAAGGCUAAAACUCAAAGGAAUUGACGG